AUGGUGGUGCACGCAGCUGGUUCGGCGCGCCACCCAGGCGCGUCGAGGCAAGAGGGAACCCGGUGUGAGUCCGGGACUGCCCCGCAGCGGUGAGUGGGAACGACAGCCGUCACACAGCACUGGACCGGGAGGUCUGGGAAGCGACGGCCAGUAGGGGUCGAACGGAUCAGUCCGUGAGGCGCGCCCACGAGUCCGAAGACCUGCCAGCGCACCGCACCCGAC
rnacentral:ncRNA from 2 species